GAUGAACGCUAGCUACAGGCUUAACACAUGCAAGUCGAGGGGCAGCAUGGUCUUAGCUUGCUAAGGCCGAUGGCGACCGGCGCACGGGUGAGUAACACGUAUCCCACCUGCCGUCUACUCUUGGACAGCCUUCUGAAAGGAAGAUUAAUACAAGAUGGCAUCAUGAGUCCGCAUGUUCACAUGAUUAAAGGUAUUCCGGUAGACGAUGGGGAUGCGUUCCAUUAGAUAGUAGGCGGGGUAACGGCCCACCUAGUCUUCGAUGGAUAGGGGUUCUGAGAGGAAGGUCCCCCACAUUGGAACUGAGAAACGGUCCAAACACCUACGGGAGGCAGCAGUGAGGAAGAUUGGUCAAUGGGCGAGAGCCUGAACCAGCCAAGUAGCGUGAAGGAUGACUGCCCUAGGGGUUGUAAACUUCUUUUAUAAAGGAAUAAAGUCGGGUAUGGAUACCCGUUUGCAUGUACUUGAUGAAUAAGGAUCGGCUAACUCCGUG
rnacentral:rRNA from 1 species